CAGUAGCCGCGGUAAUACGUAGGUGGCAAGCGUUGUCCGGAAUUAUUGGGCGUAAAGGGCUCGCAGGCGGUUCCUUAAGUCUGAUGUGAAAGCCCCCGGCUCAACCGGGGAGGGUCAUUGGAAGCUGGGAAACUUGAGUGCAGAAGAGGAGAGUGGAAUUCCACGUGUAGCGGUGAAAUGCGUAGAGAUGUGGAGGAACACCAGUGGCGAAGGCGACUCUCUGGUCUGUAACUGACGCUGAGGAGCGAAAGCGUGGGGAGCGAACAGGAUUAGAUACCCCUGUAGUCCCUGUCUCUUAUAA
rnacentral:rRNA from 1 species